GCCUGAUUGGCUCAAUCAGAAGAGCAUGAGACUCUCGAUCUUGGAGUUGUGAGUUCAAGCCCCACUUUGGGAG
rnacentral:tRNA from 1 species